rfam:Triticum aestivum genome assembly, contig: Triticum_aestivum_CS42_TGACv1_scaffold_603740_7DL
GCAAUACUCCCUCUGUCCGGAAAUACUUGUCCUCGAAAUGGUUGUAUCUAGACUUAUUUUAGUUAUAGAUACAUUCAUUUUAUCAAUUUUUAGGACAAGUAUUUCCGGGCGGAUGGAGUACUUA